UCAAAUGCCAUCUCAACUGAGACAUUCCUCCAGAAACUCCUCUCCAGGUGCAGAGUUACUUGUCCUUGACUUCUAAGAAAGAAGGUAAUUGACUCAAAA